AUUGGUGAGAAGUUAAUAACUCUCCAAGCACUCUCUUCUUAUAAGUCGGUGAAUUCUACCUAGGUAGCUUAUUCCUAGUAUGGUUUAACCUUAAUGACUCAUGGAGUGUAGGAAGAGUCGAAGUAUCUAGUGGGAAUAAAUACAAACACUUUGUUCUGUUCUAUCUCUAUUAUGGUUGAGCCUAAAUCUUUUUCCUAAGUCAUGAAAUUUGACUGUCGGGAAGAGGCAGUGCGAUCUGAGAUAGUUGCUUUUGAGCAGAACAAAACUUGGGUGCUCACUGAUUUAUCAAGUGGUAAAGUCCCCAAAAUGGGUUUAUAAAAUUAAACAUAGAGUAGAUGUCUGUAUUGAAUGUUAC
rnacentral:misc_RNA from 1 species